rnacentral:rRNA from 1 species
UCUGGCUCAGGAUGAACGCUAGCGGCAGGCUUAACACAUGCAAGUCGAGGGGCAGCGCGGGUAGCAAUACCUGGCGGCGACCGGCGAAAGGGUGCGGAACACGUGAGCAACUUGCCCGUGACAGGGGGAUAAGCGCUGGAAACGGCGUCUAAUACCCCGUAACACAAGGGAUGGCAUCGUCCUUUGUUGAAAGUCUUCGGAUGGUCACGGAUGGGCUCGCGCGACAUUAGGUAGACGGCGGGGUAACGGCCCACCGUGCCGACGAUGUCUAGGGGUUCUGAGAGGAAGGUCCCCCACACUGGAACUGAGACACGGUCCAGACUCCUACGGGAGGCAGCAGUGAGGAAUAUUGGUCAAUGGCCGGAAGGCUGAACCAGCCAUGCCGCGUGCAGGAAUAAGGUCCUUAAUGGAUUGUAAACUGCUUUUAUGUGGGAGCAAUAAGGUCUACGUGUAGACCGAUGAGAGUACCAUAUGAAUAAGCAUCGGCUAACUCCGUGCCAGCAGCUGC